AAGGUGGGGAUCUGACACAGGCUGGACUCGAGGAUUGUGGAGGAUUUUUCCGAGCUAAAUGACUCUGUGAUUGUGUGACAGCUUGUCAGCACAUCUGUAGUGUUCAUUUGUCCAUCUGCAGCUUCUCCAGCAUCCCUGGAGCAGUAUGCUAGACCCACAGUAGGGAUGGUGGAUGCUGCAGUGACUACACCACCUCCUGAGGUCCCCUACAAGCUGAACUACCAUGUACUCCCACGGCACCUUAUGGCAUCACAGCCAUGGAACUCAGAAUGCUAGAACUCAUAGAGUUAAUCUGGGCUGAUGUGACAGCACACAGUUUAUUUUACGGGCAUUUUAGCCAGGAAAAAGCACUCCCUCAUAAAGAAAAAAACCACAGUUCUUCAAAUACAAUGCUGUGAACAAACCCCUGGGUAAAGUGCUUAGUGAUUUAGUAAUAUUUAUUUGUAUUCUGACACUGCAUAAAAAUGCAAAACUUGAGGAUGGAGCCUGUAACAAACUAAGCACUGUCCCCACAUGACCAACAGAGAUCUGAGGUACUCUGGACCACUUCUCCUUAUGCUCAAACCCACUCCUCCUGGUCUCAAAGGACUGCAGUGUCUAACAGACACAUUGGCCAGCAUGUGCUUUAUUCAAACAUCACAGAUCACCCUAACUUCUCAACAGGAAAAAUAUGAUUUUACUUUAUCUACACUAUUUACUAGUAGGAAAGAUGCAGCCAAUACAUCAGGGAAUUUAGUCACAUCACUGCAGCGACUUGGGAAGCUUUGAAUCCAGCUAAUUCCAGCUGCUCUGCCACAUCUGGCUGUGAAACCCCUGCCCUGCAUGCUCCAAGAUGUCCUGGGCAGCACUGGAACGGGGGGGUUUGCUCCCCAACGAAGUUUCAGCCAAGAGAGCAGAGAAGCAACAAGACUGCACCAAGUGCCUAAUCAGAGCAAUCCUUGAGACAGCUCUAAAUGAGAUCAAACUGUUGGGGCUGGAUCCCAGUCAGUGCAGUCCCUGGGGAGCAGACACUGCCAUCUGCACGCUCAUUUAUUGGGCUUUGGAAUUAUUUAACGUUUGAUUUAUGGUGGUGAAUUGCCUCCUGGCAAACAUUCACUGUGCAAAACUCUCUGUUCCCUCACCCAUUAAAAAUCAGGGCCUGAUCCAUGUGAAAGCUUCCUGAUGAGUUCACUACGUUUUGGAUCAGGCCUCUUGGUCCCAAGACUGGCAGAUAAUAUCCCAUUUAUGUCCAGUUUUCUUGCUCAAAUUUAGAAGAACUCAAGUGCUUUCCAUCAAUGUUUUUAUGUUUGCUUUUGGGAGAAUCCUCACAGUGGGUCAGGUUACUGUGAUAUAGAAAGGAUGACCCACUCUGACAUACAAAUUUUCCAAAGGAUCUCAGCCUGAGGCAGACAUCUGCCUCUGGGAAUUUCAGCCCAGAUGACUGGAGUUUGGCAAAGAUGGAAGAAACUGAAAAUAGAGCUCUGUAAUGGAAAGUGGUGUAGAACCUUAAUAAUAGGAGGGUGCUACCAAGCACCACAUAUGAUAAAACUCCACAACAACAAACAUAAGGGAAGCAUUGAGGGAGGAUUCUUUCUGUUAUGCCUCAGAAUAUAUGAUGUCUCUUCUCUUACUUGAAAGGGUAUCAGAGUUAACUCUUAUUUUUGCCUGAUCCUCCAGAAAUUAUGAUCAAAACCAGGCAGCUCAAACCCAGCCUUUCUCUCUCAACUGUAUUGAACAAGGUUUAUCUGAGAAGCAUGAGCCCAUCCCAGACAGUCAGAAGAAGUCAGGACUACAAUCGUUCAUCUCUGCACUGAGGAGUCAGUAGCAGACUAGAAAAGCUGUGUGGCUCAGAUCUAAGCAGUUAAAUUUUCAUUACUUUGCUUGCAGAUUAAAAGCCCAUCUUGAUGUUUCAGUUACAAGAACACAAUUUCAGUUCUACAAUACCCAGAAUACCACAAAGACUCCCUUAGUCAUAACAGGUGAAAAACAUAAUUUCACUCAGAUUAAUUCUGAAAUGUUUGAGUCCCUAUUUCUGCUUUCACCCCAUCUCUGUCAAUUCGCUCUUGAUGGGCAGGAUGUGAACACAGGAGCUGGAAUCUUGUUAAAGACAUUUAAGAAAUUUGCUGCCAUUUACACCUGCAUAAAUCCUUAGUAACUUCCCUGGCAUAAAUGGAAACACAAUUUGGCUUGAGGCAUCAGGGCUUUGGUUUUUUCUUACUUUUGUUUUGUUUUAAUUCAGCAACAGAUUAAAAAUAAAACUCCAAUGACAUCAUGUUUAUGGCACAGAGUCAAUGGAUUUGUGCUGGACUGCUCCAGAGUAAAUGAGAUAAGGCUUUGACCUAAGAAAAUCCACAUAACACCCAUUUGCAAGCAGCCUGGUGAAAAGCUUUCUGUUAUGGAAUGACUCCAUCUUUAAGGAACUGGGGGCAAACGACCCACAAACACCUUGUGGAAAUAACACAGUUUUGUUAACAAAGGGGUUUAUUUCAGACAUAUUAUUGAAACCUCAGAAGUGUAGCAUGCUCAUAUUGCAACUGACUCAUUGUGCACGAAUUUUCAGCUUUUGUUUUUCUUUUUUGUUCCUUCUUUUUUUUUAAUGGAUUUUAGUUAUGCCCAUCACUCCACUCACAAAUUAGGGGGUUAGAAUGGAAAUUCUUACCAUCUUUUCACGCCUCUGGUGCUUGCAGGCACUGCCAUGAUAAAUAAUUUACUAUUUAAUGACUCCUGAUGUAAUCACAGCAGGAAUCAGAUUCACCAACAUCCAUCUCUCCAUUGUUACCACUCUUCUCUGAGCCCAUCUUUUUAGCUCCCAACUCAAA